rnacentral:lncRNA from 1 species
GUGAAGUCAGUGAGAGGAUUUAUGACUGAUUGGUUGGAUCAGUUUAUGCCUAGUCUUCUUUGAUCUGAUUUGAUAAAAUUAGUAAAAAGAUUAAGAUUAACUAGUCAAGUCUUUUCUCAUCUUUCAUUUCAUCUAAUUAAAUCCUCUAAACUUAUUAGAUCCUUAAAAAAAAAAUAGUUAUGGUGAUAACUAGAUCAUAAUCUCCUAUUAAGUUAGAUGAUAAUGGAUCCAACAGUUUAAAUGAUCACUGGAGGUGCCAUAUGUCUGGUGCUCAUCUCGCUGGUGAAAUUAUCAUAUGUUGAUUUAAUUGUGU